UUACGCUGUGCAAAAUUUCAACGUUCUGUGAAAAAGUCUCCGAGAGCUACAAUAUAUUUAACGAUUUUUUCCAACUUUAGGGCGCUAUAACUCGGAGGGAAAGCAUUUUUGGACUCAUGUUUAUAAGAACUUUUUUUCUUAUUUUGACCCCUAGAAUACGUCCUUAAAAUCUAUGACAUAGGUUUAGAAACACCCUGUAUACAUACAUAAAAACGGACACAUCUAUAUAUCGAUAUAUACACGCGUAACUUUUAUACAUCUGUAUACAUACAUCCUGUGCUUGCGCGUUCGAUGCAUUUGCGGGUGUGUGACCUUCUUAAAGUCGCGCAUGAGCUACGAAAAGUUACACGAUGUGAGAGCACCUUUAACACCCGCUGCGAGGGGACUAAAGCGCAGGCCUCGAAUCGAUCCUCCAUCCCCCUCGGGAGCAGCGCGUCCGCCAAGAGCAACCCCCGGCCGACGACUCUGUUGUCGACCCAACAACAGUUCAAAACCACCCGAGACCACCGCGGCAAACAUGGCGUUGGAUUUUGCAGCCACGUACAAGGUCCUAGUGUUGGGCGACUCGAAUGUCGGCAAGACAUGCAUCGUGCAUCGUUAUUGCGACGAACGGUACUACGACACUUACAUCUCGACGAUAGGUAUCGAUUUCAAACAAAAAAUCAUUAACCUAGACGGAACGCCAAUUAAAUUACAAAUUUGGGAUACCGCCGGCCAAGAAAGAUUUCGAACUUUAACAACGGCAUAUUAUCGUGGCGCUAUGGGUAUUCUUUUGAUGUACGAUGUCACUAGUUUGGAGAGUUUCAACCAUCUGUCUUAUUGGCUGCGAAAUAUUCAAGAAAAUGCGUCACCAGACGUAGUAAAAGUUUUGGCAGCGAAUAAGUGCGAUGCGACCGCGCAUCGCGCUGUGGAUGCUGAGAGAGGCCAGAAGAUCGCUGAAAAUUUCGAUAUGCCUUUCUUCGAGGUAUCGUGUAAAGAGAAUAUCAAUAUCGAGGAAGCUUUUCUCACUCUAGCCAGAAGAAUACGGGAGCAACGGGGCCGCCGAGCCAGUCUGUUCGAAGCUUCUGAGAGAGAAGGCGCAGACAGUAUUAUAAAGGCGCAGUCACCGUCUCAGCAGGGUGACGCCUGGAGAUGCACCUGUUAGUUCGGAUAAUCAUCGAAAGUCUAUUCGAUUGGAGACUUCGACGGCAACCAGAUAUAAUUCGUGCCGUUUUCGAGCAUGGAGGCGAUAGUGGAAUAUAAUUAU
rnacentral:misc_RNA from 1 species